rnacentral:rRNA from 1 species
UGGGGGAAACCCUGAUGCAGCCAUCGCCGCGUGUGUGAAGAAGGCCUUUCGGGUUGUAAAGCACUUUCAUAGGGGAGAAGGUAGUGUAGUUAACACCUGCACUUAUUUGACGUUACCUACAGAAGAAGCACCGGCUAACUCCGUGCCAGCAGCCGCGGUAAUACGGAGGGUGCGAGCGUUAAUCGGAAUUACUGGGCGUAAAGCGCAUGCAGGCGGCCUGUUAAGUCAGAUGUGAAAGCCCGGGGCUUAACCUCGGAAUUGCAUUUGAAACUGACAGGCUAGAGUCUUGUAGAGGGGGGUAGAAUUUCAGGUGUAGCGGUGAAAUGCGUAGAGAUCUGAAGGAAUACCAGUGGCGAAGGCGGCCCCCUGGACAAAGACUGACGCUCAGAUGCGAAAGCGUGGGGAGCAAACAGGAUUAGAUACCCUGGUAG